AACUCUAAACAGAAUACAAAGCAUGAAUCUAUCAUUCGCUGGCUGCGGAUUCCUUGGCAUCUACCACGUCGGAGUCGCAGUCUGUUUCAAAAAGUAUGCGCCUCAUCUGCUGUUGGAGAAAAUUGGAGGCGCCUCGGCCGGUUCGCUGGCCGCCUGCUGCCUCCUUUGCGAUUUGCCAUUGGGCAGCAUGACAUCUGACUUCUUCCGCGUGGUGAAUGAGGCGCGUCGCUACUCCCUGGGCCCCUUCAGUCCCUCCUUCAACAUCCAGACCUGCCUGCUCGAGGGUCUGCAGAAGCACCUCCCAGAGGAUGCCCACAAGAGGGUCAACGGCAGACUGCACAUCUCCCUCACCCGAGUCUACGACGGCAAGAAUGUGAUAAUUUCGGAGUUCGAGUCCCGGGAAGAGGUGCUCCAGGCCCUGCUCUGUGCCUGCUUUAUUCCCGGAUUUUCGGGCAUACUGCCGCCCAAGUUCCGCGGUGUCCGCUACAUGGACGGCGCCUUCUCCGAUAACCUGCCCAUCUUGGACGAGAACACCAUCACAGUCAGCCCGUUCUGCGGAGAAAGUGAUAUCUGUCCGCGCGAUCAGAGCUCACAACUGUUUCACCUGAACUGGGCCAAUACCAGCAUCGAGAUCUCCAGACAGAACGUCAACCGGUUCGUGAGGAUCCUGUUCCCGCCGCGUCCCGAGUUCCUGUCCAAGUUCUGCCAGCAGGGAUUCGACGAUGCCCUCCAGUUCCUGCACCGCAACAAUCUCAUCAAUUGUCGGCGUUGUGUGGCGGUCCAAUCCACGUUUGUGGUCUCCGAAACGGUGGCCCAGCCGGAGGAGUUCGAUCCAGAGUGCAGGGAGUGCAAAAAGCAUAGAAAGGACGCUUUAAGCUCAAACAUGCCACAAACAGUGCUGGAUGUGAUCCAGGACUACAUAGAGCAAGCCAACAAGGGACUAGCCAACUGGAUCUUCAAGCAUCGCGGCAUCAAGCUGCUCUCUCUGCCCGCCACAGUGCCCAUGGACUUCCUACUGGCCACCAUAUCCAAAAUCACCACUCUGACGCCCAAACUCACAAAACAGGCCAGGGUUAUGGUGGAGGAUUUUAUUGUUCAAUUGAACAAUGCCAUGCAAAUACGCCUGCUGAACAAAUUUACGCUCUAUGAUCAGCCGCACUUUGAUGCCACAGGACUUUUGCAUUCCAGUCGCCUCUAUGGACCUCGAGUAUCCAUUCUUGUAGAUGAAUGUGGCGCCACUCCCCUGGAGGAUGAUGUCGAUAACUUUGAGCAUGUCCUCAAAAUGACCACGCACAACGACGCUCUCUACGCCUACUAUUACACCGACAAUCAUACGAACAAGGUCAAGGUUACCGAGAUCUUUGACUUUGACGAUAUGACGGAGCACGAUGAACUGGCGACCGACCUGCAAAUAUACGAGGGAUCCGUCGAGGAUCAUCCCAAUCCCCACCAGCACAGCCACAACACCGUGGUCAGCGAAUGGAAUGGCGUCGAAUCAGUACAAAUAAUGCCCACGACACCUGAACUGCACGACGUAGCAUUUUAAAGCACAAUCACACAGUUAUCAGAAAAUAUUAAUCGACAAUCAAUGCACCUCCAUUAUAAGAACCUACACAAGCACAAAGUCAAAAUUUUAAAUCAUUUUAUCAGACUUUUUCAUCGAUGCCCAGACACCUAGCACGGAGGUAUGCAAAUCAUCGACGCCCCAGUUCGCCA
rnacentral:misc_RNA from 1 species